UACGUAGGCAGCGAGCGUUGUUCGGAAUUACUGGGCGUAAAGAGUGUGUAGGUGGUGCUCUAAGUUCGGUGUGAAAUCUCCCGCUUAACUGGGAGGGUGCGCCGAAUACUGAAUGACUCGAGUGCGGGAGAGGAAAGUGGAAUUCCUGGUGUAGCGGUGAAAUGCGUAGAUAUCAGGAGGAACACCGGUGGUGUAGACGGCUUUCUGGACCGUAACUGACGCUGAAACACGAAAGCGUGGGUAGCAAACAGG
rnacentral:rRNA from 1 species